rnacentral:rRNA from 1 species
ACCUACGGGAGGCAGCAGUAGGGAAUCUUCCACAAUGGGCGAAAGCCUGAUGGAGCAACGCCGCGUGGGUGAAGAAGGUCUUCGGAUCGUAAAACCCUGUUGUUAGAGAAGAAAGUGCGUGAGAGUAACUGUUCACGUUUCGACGGUAUCUAACCAGAAAGCCACGGCUAACUACGUGCCAGCAGCCGCGGUAAUACGUAGGUGGCAAGCGUUAUCCGGAUUUAUUGGGCGUAAAGAGAACGCAGGCGGUCUUUUAAGUCUGAUGUGAAAGCCUUCGGCUUAACCGGAGGAGUGCAUUGGAAACU